UACGAACUGUGCAAACGUUAUUCGGAAUCACUGGGCUUAAAGCGCGCGCAGGCGGUUCCUUAAGUCUGAUGUGAAAGCCCACGGCUUAACCGUGGAGGGUCAUUGGAAACUGGGGAACUUGAGUGCAGAAGAGGAAAGUGGAAUUCCACGUGUAGCGGUGAAAUGCGUAGAGAUGUGGAGGAACACCAGUGGCGAAGGCGACUUUCUGGUCUGUAACUGACGCUGAGGCGCGAAAGCGUGGGGAGCAAACAGG
rnacentral:rRNA from 1 species